rnacentral:rRNA from 1 species
UACGUAGGGUGCGAGCGUUGUCCGGAAUUACUGGGCGUAAAGAGCUCGUAGGUGGUUUGUCGCGUUGUCCGUGAAAACUCACAACUCAAUUGUGGGCGUGCGGGCGAUACGGGCAGACUGGAGUACUGCAGGGGAGACUGGAAUUCCUGGUGUAGCGGUGGAAUGCGCAGAUAUCAGGAGGAACACCGAUGGCGAAGGCAGGUCUCUGGGCCGAUACUGACGCUGAGGAGCGAAAGCGUGGGGAGCAAACAGG